GGGGUUGUGGCUCAGUGGCAGAGCGCUUGCCUAGCAUGUGUGAGGCUCUGGGUUCGAUUCUCAGCACCA
rnacentral:tRNA from 1 species